rnacentral:rRNA from 1 species
ACGCUCGACACCUACGGGAGGCGGCAGUGAGGAAUAUUGGUCAAUGGGCGCUAGCCUGAACCAGCCAAGUAGCGUGAAGGAUGAAGGCUCUAUGGAUCGUAAACUUCUUUUAUAUAAGAAUAAAGUGCAGUAUGUAUACUGUUUUGUAUGUAUUAUAUGAAUAAGGAUCGGCUAACUCCGUGCCAACAGCCGCGGUAAUCUGAGCGGGCUGGCAAGGC